rnacentral:rRNA from 1 species
UGCAAGUCGAGCGAAUCGACGGGAGCUUGCUCCCUGAGAUUAGCGGCGGACGGGUGAGUAACACGUGGGCAACCUGCCUAUAAGACUGGGAUAACUUCGGGAAACCGGAGCUAAUACCGGAUACGUUCUUUUCUCGCAUGAGAGAAGAUGGAAAGACGGUUUACGCUGUCACUUAUAGAUGGGCCCGCGGCGCAUUAGCUAGUUGGUGAGGUAAUGGCUCACCAAGGCGACGAUGCGUAGCCGACCUGAGAGGGUGAUCGGCCACACUGGGACUGAGACACGGCCCAGACUCCUACGGGAGGCAGCAGUAGGGAAUCUUCCGCAAUGGACGAAAGUCUGACGGAGCAACGCCGCGUGAACGAAGAAGGCCUUCGGGUCGUAAAGUUCUGUUGUUAGGGAAGAACAAGUACCAGAGUAACUGCUGGUACCUUGACGGUACCUAACCAGAAAGCCACGGCUAACUACGUGCCAGCAGCCGCGGUAAUACGUAGGUGGCAAGCGUUGUCCGGAAUUAUUGGGCGUAAAGCGCGCGCAGGUGGUUCCUUAAGUCUGAUGUGAAAGCCCACGGCUCAACCGUGGAGGGUCAUUGGAAACUGGGGAACUUGAGUGCAGAAGAGGAAAGUGGAAUUCCAAGUGUAGCGGUGAAAUGCGUAGAGAUUUGGAGGAACACCAGUGGCGAAGGCGACUUUCUGGUCUGUAACUGACACUGAGGCGCGAAAGCGUGGGGAG